rnacentral:rRNA from 1 species
UACGUAGGGGGCAAGCGUUGUCCGGAUUUAUUGGGCGUAAAGAGCGUGUAGGCGGCCCGGUAAGUCCGCUGUGAAAGUCCAGGGCUCAACCCUGGGAUGCCGGUGGAUACUGUCGGGCUCGAGUCCGGAAGAGGAGUGUGGAAUUCCUGGUGUAGCGGUGAAAUGCGCAGAUAUCAAGUGGAACACCAGUGGCGAAGGCGAGUCCCUGGACAACUCCUGACACUGAGGCACGAAAGCUAGGGGAGCAAACAGG